AAGUGAUCUUAAAGGUUGCAAGCCUACACCUUUCAGGGCCCGUCCAAUGUCAUUACCUUCAACAACAAUGCAUUACAAUGCUGGGAUUUAAUGAGUGUCCCCUUUCCCUCCACCAGGUCAGAUUCUUGACUGUGGGACCUCUUUCGGUGCAGAUUUAUACCCUGCUCCAUCCAGAAGGCUCAGAGCAGCCUACAAUAAACAACUCACAGAGAGGAUUCACCAAACAUCACCCCAAAACUUGAGAACUCCAACUUCCCCACCAAUCACCACUUCCAUUCCCAAACCCCAGCACAAGCAAAUAAAUCCUCCUGCCAAUCCAAACCAUACCUCCCAACCAGCAUUCACAUCGAGACAAGAAACCUCUCCCUGUCCACUGCCCUGCCUCACCCCCAGAAGAGAUCCCCCUAUUUACUCCUGAGAGAUCCAAUUCUUGAUAGCUCACAAUUCUUUUUCUAAAAUAUCACAUUUUCCCCUUUUUUAUGAAUCUUCUGGUGUACUCAGUAGCAUAAAAUAUCCUGUAAUCCUGAGACUGUUCUUUAAUUCUAGUGUUUUGCUUUAAUCAAAUCUAAGACAGAAUCUCCUUGUGACUAUAAAAACAUAAAUCUGCAACGUUUUCUUUAAGUUCAACUGAGAUGGGUAUUAAACACAAGAUUAUAAUUAUGCGCUAAGCAGUCCCAUAAGGCUUCACGAUUUUGCUUGAAUACUUUCAUUGUGUUUGAAAAAAGAUUGGCAUGGUGCAUGCUAUAUGGGUAACUUGUUUGCUCAUGGUGUCAGAAAACCUUUGAUUUGUCUAAGCGCAUAAAACAACUGAAUGUUCUUCCUG